UACGUAGGCAGCGAGCGUUGUUCGGAAUUACUGGGCGUAAAGAGUGUGUAGGCGGUGCUCUAAGUUCGGUGUGAAAUCUCCUGCUUAACUGGGAGGGUGCGCCGGAAACUGGGGUGCUCGAGCGUGGGGAGAGGAAAGCGGAACUCCUGGUGUAGCGGUGAAAUGCGCAGAUAUCAGGAAGAACACCAAUGGCGAAGGCAGCUCGCUGGGACGGUACUGACGCUGAGACGCGAAAGCGUGGGGAGCAAACAGG
rnacentral:rRNA from 1 species